UCCCUGGAGGACUAGCGGUUAGGCUUCGGCACUCUCAUCGCCACAGCCUGGGUUUGAUUCCCAGCCAGGGAA